AUUGAACGCUGGCGGCAUGCCUUACACAUGCAAGUCGAACGGUAACAGGUCUUCGGAUGCUGACGAGUGGCGAACGGGUGAGUAAUACAUCGGAACGUGCCUAGUAGUGGGGGAUAACUACUCGAAAGAGUGGCUAAUACCGCAUGAGAUCUACGGAUGAAAGCAGGGGAUCGCAAGACCUUGUGCUACUAGAGCGGCGGAUGGCAGAUUAGGUAGUUGGUGGGAUAAAAGCUUACCAAGCCGACGAUCUGUAGCUGGUCUGAGAGGACGAUCAGCCACACUGGGACUGAGACACGGCCCAGACUCCUACGGGAGGCAGCAGUGGGGAAUUUUGGACAAUGGGCGCAAGCCUGAUCCAGCAAUGCCGCGUGCAGGAUGAAGGCCUUCGGGUUGUAAACUGCUUUUGUACGGAACGAAAAGCCCUGGGUUAAUACCCUGGGGUCAUGACGGUACCGUAAGAAUAAGCACCGGCUAACUACGUGCCAGCCGCCGCGGUAAUAC
rnacentral:rRNA from 1 species